AGUGCGGUAGAGCAGUGGUAGCUCGCAAGGCUCAUAACCUUGAGGUCGGGAGUUCGAAUCUCCCCCGCGCAA
rnacentral:tRNA from 1 species